GGUUAAGCGACUAAGCGUACACGGUGGAUGCCCUGGCAGUCAGAGGCGAUGAAGGGCGUGCUAAUCUGCGAUAAGCGCCGGUAAGGUGAUAUGAACCGUUAUAACCGGCGAUACCCGAAUGGGGAAACCCAGUGUGACUCGUCACACUAUCAUUAACUGAAUCCAUAGGUUAAUGAGGCGAACCGGGGGAACUGAAACAUCUAAGUACCCCGAGGAAAAGAAAUCAACCGAGAUUCCCCCAGUAGCGGCGAGCGAACGGGGAGGAGCCCAGAGCCUGAAUCAGCAUGUGUGUUAGUGGAAGCGUCUGGAAAGGCGCGCGAUACAGGGUGACAGCCCCGUACACAAAAGCGCAUGUGCUGUGAGCUCGAUGAGUAGGGCGGGACACGUGGUAUCCUGUCUGAAUAUGGGGGGACCAUCCUCCAAGGCUAAAUACUCCUGACUGACCGAUAGUGAACCAGUACCGUGAGGGAAAGGCGAAAAGAACCCCGGCGAGGGGAGUGAAAAAGAACCUGAAACCGUGUACGUACAAGCAGUGGGAGCACAGGUUUACCUGUGUGACUGCGUACCUUUUGUAUAAUGGGUCAGCGACUUAUAUUCUGUAGCAAGGUUAACCGUAUAGGGGAGCCGGAGGGAAACCGAGUCUUAACCGGGCGUUAAGUUGCAGGGUAUAGACCCGAAACCCGGUGAUCUAGCCAUGGGCAGGUUGAAGGUUGGGUAACACUAACUGGAGGACCGAACCGACUAAUGUUGAAAAAUUAGCGGAUGACCUGUGGCUGGGGGUGAAAGGCCAAUCAAACCGGGAGAUAGCUGGUUCUCCCCGAAAGCUAUUUAGGUAGCGCCUCGUGAACUCAUCUCCGGGGGUAGAGCACUGUUUCGGCUAGGGGGCCAUCCCGGCUUACCAACCCGAUGCAAACUGCGAAUACCGGAGAAUGUUAUCACGGGAGACACACGGCGGGUGCUAACGUCCGUCGUGAAGAGGGAAACAACCCAGACCGCCAGCUAAGGUCCCAAAGUCAUGGUUAAGUGGGAAACGAUGUGGGAAGGCCCAGACAGCCAGGAUGUUGGCUUAGAAGCAGCCAUCAUUUAAAGAAAGCGUAAUAGCUCACUGGUCGAGUCGGCCUGCGCGGAAGAUGUAACGGGGCUAAACCAUGCACCGAAGCUGCGGCAGCGAACGUAUCACCCAAGACAACUUUGCGGAGUUGACGAUUGACGGAGCGAAGCGACGUCAAAGCGUUCAUUAAAGUCGAGUUGGCUUAGGGAUACGUUCGUUGGGUAGGGGAGCGUUCUGUAAGCCAGUGAAGGUGUGUCGUGAGGCAUGCUGGAGGUAUCAGAAGUGCGAAUGCUGACAUAAGUAACGAUAAAGCGGGUGAAAAGCCCGCUCGCCGGAAGACCAAGGGUUCCUGUCCAACGUUAAUCGGGGCAGGGUGAGUCGACCCCUAAGGCGAGGCCGAAAGGCGUAGUCGAUGGGAAACAGGUUAAUAUUCCUGUACUUGGUGUUACUGCGAAGGGGGGACGGAGAAGGCUAUGUUGGCCGGGCGACGGUUGUCCCGGUUUAAGCGUGUAGGUGUGUGUUCCAGGUAAAUCCGGUUCACUUUAACACUGAGGCGUGAUGACGAGGCACUACGGUGCUGAAGCAACAAAUGCCCUGCUUCCAGGAAAAGCCUCUAAGCAUCAGGUAACAUCAAAUCGUACCCCAAACCGACACAGGUGGUCAGGUAGAGAAUACCAAGGCGCUUGAGAGAACUCGGGUGAAGGAACUAGGCAAAAUGGUGCCGUAACUUCGGGAGAAGGCACGCUGACACGUAGGUGAAGUGAUUUACUCAUGGAGCUGAAGUCAGUCGAAGAUACCAGCUGGCUGCAACUGUUUAUUAAAAACACAGCACUGUGCAAACACGAAAGUGGACGUAUACGGUGUGACGCCUGCCCGGUGCCGGAAGGUUAAUUGAUGGGGUCAGCGCAAGCGAAGCUCCUGAUCGAAGCCCCGGUAAACGGCGGCCGUAACUAUAACGGUCCUAAGGUAGCGAAAUUCCUUGUCGGGUAAGUUCCGACCUGCACGAAUGGCGUAAUGAUGGCCAGGCUGUCUCCACCCGAGACUCAGUGAAAUUGAACUCGCUGUGAAGAUGCAGUGUACCCGCGGCAAGACGGAAAGACCCCGUGAACCUUUACUAUAGCUUGACACUGAACAUUGAGCCUUGAUGUGUAGGAUAGGUGGGAGGCUUUGAAGCGUGGACGCCAGUCUGCGUGGAGCCGACCUUGAAAUACCACCCUUUAAUGUUUGAUGUUCUAACGUGGACCCGUAAUCCGGGUUGCGGACAGUGUCUGGUGGGUAGUUUGACUGGGGCGGUCUCCUCCUAAAGAGUAACGGAGGAGCACGAAGGUUGGCUAAUCCUGGUCGGACAUCAGGAGGUUAGUGCAAUGGCAUAAGCCAGCUUGACUGCGAGCGUGACGGCGCGAGCAGGUGCGAAAGCAGGUCAUAGUGAUCCGGUGGUUCUGAAUGGAAGGGCCAUCGCUCAACGGAUAAAAGGUACUCCGGGGAUAACAGGCUGAUACCGCCCAAGAGUUCAUAUCGACGGCGGUGUUUGGCACCUCGAUGUCGGCUCAUCACAUCCUGGGGCUGAAGUAGGUCCCAAGGGUAUGGCUGUUCGCCAUUUAAAGUGGUACGCGAGCUGGGUUUAGAACGUCGUGAGACAGUUCGGUCCCUAUCUGCCGUGGGCGCUGGAGAACUGAGGGGGGCUGCUCCUAGUACGAGAGGACCGGAGUGGACGCAUCACUGGUGUUCGGGUUGUCAUGCCAAUGGCACUGCCCGGUAGCUAAAUGCGGAAGAGAUAAGUGCUGAAAGCAUCUAAGCACGAAACUUGCCCCGAGAUGAGUUCUCCCUGAGACUUUAGGUCUCCUGAAGGAACGUUGAAGACGACGACGUUGAUAGGCCGGGUGUGUAAGCGCAGCGAUGCGUUGAGCUAACCGGUACUAAUGAACCGUGAGGCUUAACCUU
rnacentral:rRNA from 1 species